rnacentral:rRNA from 1 species
UUCCGGUUGAUCCUGCCGGAGGCCACUGCUAUCGGGGAUCGACUAAGCCAUGCGAGUCGUAUGUUCCCCUUCGGGGGAGCAUGGCGCACUGCUCAGUAACACGUGGAUAACCUACCCUUGGGACAGGGAUAACCCCGGGAAACUGGGGAUAAUACCUGAUAGACCAUGGAGGCUGGAAGGCGCCAUGGUUCAAAGGGGCAACCGCCCGCCCAAGGAUGGGUCUGCGGCCUAUCAGGUUGUAGUGGGUGUAACGCACCUACUAGCCUACGACGGGUACGGGCUGUGGGAGCAGGAGCCCGGAGAUGGAUUCUGAGACAUGAAUCCAGGCCCUACGGGGUGCAGCAGGCGCGAAAACUUUACAAUGCGGGAAACCGUGAUAAGGGAACCUCGAGUGCCGAUGCAUAGCAUCGGCUGUCCAGAUGCCUAAAAAGCAUCUGAUAGCAAGGGCCGGGCAAGACCGGUGCCAGCCGCCGCGGUAACACCGGCGGCUCGAGUGGUGGCCACUUUUAUUGGGUCUAAAGCGUCCGUAGCCGGCUUGGCAAGUCCCCUGGGAAAUCUGGCGGCUUAACCGUCAGGCGUCCAGAGGAUACUGCCAGGCUUGGGACCGGGAGAGGUGAGAGGUACCUCAGGGGUAGGGGUGAAAUCUUGUGAUCCCUGAGGGACCACCAGUGGCGAAGGCGUCUCACUAGAACGGGUCCGACGGUCAGGGACGAAAGCUGGGGGCACGAACCGGAUUAGAUACCCGGGUAGUCCCAG